rnacentral:rRNA from 1 species
CAACGCCGCGUGUGUGAUGAAGGUCUUCGGAUUGUAAAGCACUUUCGACCGGGACGAAAACCCUGAAGCUAACAUCUUCAGGCUUGACGGUACCGGGAGAAGAAGCACCGGCUAACUCUGUGCCAGCAGCCGCGGUAAUACAGAGGGUGCAAGCGUUGUUCGGAAUUACUGGGCGUAAAGCGUGCGCAGGCGGUUUUGUAAGUCUGUCGUGAAAUCCCCGGGCUCAACCUGGGAAUUGCGAUGGAGACUGCAAGGCUAGAAUCUGGCAGAGGGGGGUAGAAUUCCACGUGUAGCAGUGAAAUGCGUAGAGAUGUGGAGGAACACCGAUGGCGAAGGCAGCCCCCUGGGUCAAGAUUGACGCUCAUGCACGAAAGCGUGGGGAGCAAACAGGAUUAGAUACCCUGGUAGUCCACGCCCUAAACGAUGUCUACUAGUUGUCGGGUUUUAAUUAACUUGGUAACGCAGCUAACGCGUGAAGUAGACCGCCUGGGGAGUACGGUCGCAAGAUUA